rnacentral:lncRNA from 13 species
UCCUUCUCCUCCUGCUCUUCUUCAUCCUUCUCCUCCUCUGUCUCUUCUUCCUUCUCCUUUUCAUUUUCUUCUUCUUUUCCUUCUCUUCUUCUUUCUCCUUCUCAUCCUUCUCCUCCACCCCCUCCUCAUCCUCCUCAUCAUCCUCAUCCUCAUCAUUCUCCUCCCUCUCUUUUUCCUCCUUCUGCUCUUCCUUUUCCAUCUCCUCCACCUUCUCUUGUUCUUCCUCCUUUUCCUUCUCCUUCUCUUCUUCCUUCUCCUCCUGUUCUUCCUCCUCCCCACCAUCCUUCUCUUCCUCCUCCAUCUCAUCCUUCUUGUCCUCCUUUUCUUCCUCCUUCUCCUCCUGCUCUUCUUCGUCCUUCUCCUCCUCUGUCUCUUCUUCCUUCUCCUUUUCAUUCUCUUCUUCUUUUCCUUCUCUUCUUCUUUCUCCUUCUCCUCAUCCUUCUCCUCCACCCGCUCCUCAUCCUCCUCCUCAUACUUCUCUUCCUUCCCCUUCUCUUCCUCCUCCUCCUCCUCCUCCUCCUCAUCAUCCUCAUCCUCAUCAUUCUCCUCCCUCUCCUUUUCCUCCUUCUCCUGCUCUUCCUUUUCCUUCGCCUCCUCCUCCUCUUGUUCUUCCUCCUCCUCCUUUUCCUUCUCCUUCUCUUCUUCCUUCUCCUUCUCUUCCUCCUUCCCCCGUCCUCAUCCUUCUCCACCUCCUCCAUCUCGUCCUUCUCCUUCUCCUUUUCUUCCUCCUCCUCCUCCUUUUCCUUCUCCUUCUGUUCUUCCUCCUCCCCCCAAUCCUUCUCCUCCUUUUCUUCCCCCUUCUCCUUUUCCUUCUCCUCCUGCUCUUCUUCAUCCUUCUUCUCCUGUCUCUUCCUACUUCUCCUUUUCCUUCUUUUCUUCUUCUUUCUCCUUAUCCUCAUCCUUCUCCUCCACCCCCUCCUCAUCCUCUUCCUCAUACUUCUCUUCCUUCUCUUCUUCCUCCUCCUCCUCCUCCUCAUUGUCCUCCUCCUCCUCAUUCCCCAUCUCCUCCUUCUCUUCUUCCUCUUGCUCCUCCUCUUCUUCCUCAUCCUCCUCUUCCUCAUUCCCCUUCUCUUCCUCCUCCUCUUCUUCCUCCUGCUCCUUCUCCUCCUCUUUCUCCUCCUCCUCUUCCCCCCAGCUCCCUGGGCUCUGGCAGCAGCUCCUCCCUGCCUGUUGCCGCGGCGUUGCAGGGCCGGGGGGGCAGCGUGGGAGGGCUGUGCUGUGCUCCAGCCCGGUGAGUCAGCGCUGUUCCUGUGGCCGAGGGAGCCACCACGCAGCCAAAUCAGCCUCUCAGGGUACAGCAGAGAACCGAGUCCUGUCUGCUGCCGAGUCACGGGGUCAGGCAGGAUGCUGGGGUGGAUGCACAGGCUGCAAAACAUUUCCUCUUUAAAUCUCACCCCUCUGGGCACUGCCUGUCAUCUGUGGAGUUGA